rnacentral:misc_RNA from 1 species
CCGGGCUAAUGAACCUUGGGAUAAGCGAUAACAAUAAAUAAAUAAUCUUAAUCAAUAAAUAAAAAACAUACUUCAUUCCUAUGCUGUUGUAGAAUAAAGUAUCUACGUGAUAGUCUUCAAUGCCCUGUAUCAUUGCUUUACAUGUCGAAUCCCUACUACAUUUAGGAGUAUCGGUGUGUUGAAUAACAACUAUAUCUACAGGUCCAGGGAACCUUAGAUCGCGAAUUGGAUCGAAUCCACCCCAAUCAUCCCUACUGACAAUAGAAGGGCAGCAGGCUUUACAUAGACUAAAUGUACUGCGACGCUAAAUGAAAUUAAUUUGAAA